rnacentral:rRNA from 1 species
UACGUAGGGUGCGAGCGUUAAUCGGCAUUACUGGGCGUAAAGCGUGCGCAGGCGGUCUCGUAAGCUGGGUGUGAAAGCCCCGGGCUUAACCUGGGAAUGGCAUUCAGGACUGCGAGGCUCGAGUGUGGCAGAGGGAGGUGGAAUUCCGCGUGUAGCAGUGAAAUGCGUAGAGAUGCGGAGGAACAGCGAUGGCGAAGGCAACCCCCUGGGCUGACACUGACGCGCAGGCACGAAAGCGUGGGGAGCAAACAGG